UACGUAGGGUGCGAGCGUUAAUCGGAAUUACUGGGCGUAAAGCGUGCGCAGGCGGUUGUGCAAGACCGAUGUGAAAUCCCCGGGCUUAACCUGGGAAUGGCAUUGGUGACUGCACGGCUAGAGUGUGUCAGAGGGGGGUAGAAUUCCACGUGUAGCAGUGAAAUGCGUAGAUAUGUGGAGGAAUACCGAUGGCGAAGGCAGCCCCCUGGGAUAACACUGACGCUCAUGCACGAAAGCGUGGGGAGCAAACAGGAUUAGAAACCCUCGUAGU
rnacentral:rRNA from 1 species